rnacentral:rRNA from 1 species
CUUGACAUCCACGGAAGUUUUCAGAGAUGAGAAUGUGCCUUCGGGAACCGUGAGACAGGUGCUGCAUGGCUGUCGUCAGCUCGUGUUGUGAAAUGUUGGGUUAAGUCCCGCAACGAGCGCAACCCUUAUCCUUUGUUGCCAGCGGUCCGGCCGGGAACUCAAAGGAGACUGCCAGUGAUAAACUGGAGGAAGGUGGGGAUGACGUCAAGUCAUCAUGGCCCUUACGACCAGGGCUACACACGUGCUACAAUGGCGCAUACAAAGAGAAGCGACCUCGCGAGAGCAAGCGGACCUCAUAAAGUGCGUCGUAGUCCGGAUUGGAGUCUGCAACUCGACUCCAUGAAGUCGGAAUCGCUAGUAAUCGUGGAUCAGAAUGCCACGGUGAAUACGUUCCCGGGCCUUGUACACACCGC